rnacentral:rRNA from 1 species
UACGAAGGGUGCAAACGUUGCUCGGAAUUACUGGGCGUAAAGGGCGCGUAGGCGGCCUUCUCAGUCAGACGUGAAAUCCCCAGGCUUAACUUGGGAACUGCGUCUGAUACUGGAAGGCUUGAGUGCGGGAGAGGGAUGUGGAAUUCCAGGUGUAGCGGUGAAAUGCGUAGAUAUCUGGAGGAACACCGGUGGCGAAGGCGGCAUCCUGGACCGACACUGACGCUGAGGCGCGAAAGCUAGGGGAGCAAACGGG